GAUGAACGCUGGCGGCGUGCCUAAUACAUGCAAGUCGAGCGAAGCGGGGACGGGUGAGUAACACGUGGAUAACCUCCUAUACGACUGGGAAAACUUCGGGAAACCGGAGCUAAACCGGAUACUUAUCGAUGGAUCCGCGCUGCAUUAGCUAGUUGGUAAGGUAACGGCUUACCAAGGCAACGAUGCAUAGCCGACCUGAGAGGGUGGUCGGCCACACGUGAACUGAGACACGGUCCAGACUACGACGGGAGGCAGCAGUAGGGAAUCUGCUGCAAUGGGCGAAAGCCUGACGGAGCAACGCCGCGUGAGUGAUGAAGGUCUUCGGAUCUUAAAACUCUGUUAGUAGGGAAGCGUUACCUAAUCAGAAAGCCACGGCUAAAUACGUGCCAGCAGCCGCGGUAAUUC
rnacentral:rRNA from 1 species